AUAACUGCAAUGAUGAAGAGAAGUACGGAAGCAUAUUCUGUAAUAAGCGAGUCCGGGAUUGGUGCGAGCCGGAUGUAUAGAGGCUUUUGGAAGGAACUUCGGAGCAGUAUGAAAAAGAGGCUCUUGUUAUAGAGAGCAAGUAGGGUGGAACCGCGGUUUAAGCCGUCCCUAUG
rnacentral:misc_RNA from 1 species